CCUACGGGUGGCUGCAGUCGAGAAUCAUUCACAAUGGGGGAAACCCUGAUGGUGCGACGCCGCGUGGGGGAAUGAAGGUCUUCGGAUUGUAAACCCCUGUCAUGUGGGAGCAAAUUAAAAAGAUAGUACCACAAGAGGAAGAGACGGCUAACACUGUGCCAGCAGCCGCGGUAAUACAGAGGUCUCAAGCGUUGUUCGGAAUCACUGGGCGUAAAGGGUGCGUAGGCGGUUUCGUAAGACGUGGGUGAAAGGCGCGGGCUCAACCCGCGGACGGCACAUAAUACUGCGAGACUAGAGUAAUGGAGGGGGAGCCGGAAUUCUCGGUGUAGCAGUGAAAUGCGUAGAUAUCGAGAGGAACACUCGUGGCGAAGGCGGGUUCCUGGACAUUAACUGACGCUGAGACACGAAGGCCAGGGGAGCGAAAGGGAUUAGAUACCCGAGUAGUC
rnacentral:rRNA from 1 species